UACGUAGGGUGCGAGCGUUAAUCGGAAUUACUGGGCGUAAAGCGUGCGCAGGCGGUUUUGUAAGCCAGAUGUGAAAUCCCCGGGCUCAACCUGGGAAUGGCAUUUGGGACUGCAAGGCUUGAGUUUGGCAGAGGAGACUGGAAUUCCUGGUGUAGCAGUGAAAUGCGUAGAUAUCAGGAGGAAUACCGAUGGCGAAGGCAGGUCUCUGGGCUAUAACUGACGCUCAUGCACGAAAGCGUGGGGAGCGAACAGG
rnacentral:rRNA from 1 species